rnacentral:rRNA from 1 species
GACAGAGGGUGCAAACGUUGUUCGGAAUUACUGGGCGUAAAGCGCGUGUAGGCGGCCAUCUAAGUCGGGCGUGAAAUCCCACGGCUCAACCGUGGAAGUGCACUCGAAACUGGAUGGCUAGAGUCCUGGAGAGGAAGGUGGAAUGCUUGGUGUAGAGGUGAAAUUCGUAGAUAUCAAAGCGGAACACCGGUGGCGAAGGCGGCGAACCUGGGUCCGACACUGACGCGAGGCGCGAAACGUGGGGAGC